AGAUUACAGAAGCUCUUUAUCUGGCCGAGCUUAUUAGUUAUCCUCAUGCAGGGACUAUUGUGUUUUCCGAAAACAUCAAUUUACAAAUGGAUCCAUCCAGUAUUUACUUUUACAUCAGGGCCUACAAGGCCACCAAAACUCUUUACGGAAGCGGAACUCUUAGAGCGUAUGCAUGAGUCAAGCAAUUGGACUAAUGCUACAAGGCAUAAAAUAUCAAGAAUCUGAUUCACAGGUCUUAUGCUAUCAGAGACGGAUCAUGCUUGGAGCCAACUAAUCUUGGUUUGGGGUUAGUUUUGGCAUAUGAGCGUAUGGGACUCGAUUGUAAAUCAUGGAAACCAAUACUUCACCAAGAGAUGGAGCAAGACCUGAAAGCAAUUUGUUUGAAAGAUGUGGCAAAAGAAGUGUUGUUGAAAAAAAUGUGGACAAGAUGAAGGAAUGCUUUUUGCAAGUCCAAAAUACCGAAAUAGACAAUUAGGGGGUUCAUAGGAACCCGUUUGGUUCGUAAUUUAUAGUGUUCAAAUAUAUAGAAAAUUCUGAAGGAACCUCUUGAUAUUUUGUAACAAAACCUUAUAACCAAAAG